GAUGAACGCUGGCGGCGUGCCUAAUACAUGCAAGUCGAGCGAACUGAUUAGAAGCUUGCUUCUAUGACGUUAGCGGCGGACGGGUGAGUAACACGUGGGCAACCUGCCUGUAAGACUGGGAUAACUUCGGGAAACCGAAGCUAAUACCGGAUAGGAUCUUCUCCUUCAUGGGAGAUGAUUGAAAGAUGGUUUCGGCUAUCACUUACAGAUGGGCCCGCGGUGCAUUAGCUAGUUGGUGAGGUAACGGCUCACCAAGGCAACGAUGCAUAGCCGACCUGAAAGUGUGAUCGGCCACACUGGGACUGAGACACGGCCCAGACUCCUACGGGAGGCAGCAGUAGGGAAUCUUCCGCAAUGGACGAAAGUCUGACGGAGCAACGCCGCGUGAGUGAUGAAGGCUUUCGGGUCGUAAAACUCUGUUGUUAGGGAAGAACAAGUACGAGAGUAACUGCUCGUACCUUGACGGUACCUAACCAGAAAGCCACGGCUAACUACGUGCCAGCAGCCGCCGUAAGAC
rnacentral:rRNA from 1 species